UACGUAGGGUGCAAGCGUUAAUCGGAAUUACUGGGCGUAAAGCGCACGCAGGCGGUUUCGUAAGUUUGGAGUGACAGUGCUCGGCUCAACCGAGCAAGGCCUCUGAAAACUGCGGAACUUGAGGACCAGAGAGGGACAUAGAAUUCCGGGUGGAGUGGUGAAAUGCGUAGAUAUCCGGAGGAAUACCAAAGGCGAAGGCAGUGUCCUGGCUGGUAACUGACGCUCAGGCGCGAAAGCUAGGGGAGCGAACAGG
rnacentral:rRNA from 1 species